rnacentral:lncRNA from 1 species
GCUUAACAUCUUCAUAUUCAUAUAGUCUCAUGAUAUGUGCCAAUAAUUAUCCAUUACGCAUUUAACGAGACUAAAUAUAUAUCCCAACACAACAUACAAGGAGAUCUCUCCUAUAAAUACCCUAGAAAACAAUGAAUAGGGGAUUGACCUUUUGGCACCUUAAAAUUACUCUGAGCACUUGUCUUUGAGAUCAGUCUCUCCUUGUCUUAACUCUCGACCUCUUCAGGUGAACUGGCUUCCAUUACCCUACCUUGACCUCCUCCUUGCUCCGCCUUAUUCUCUUCCCUUGUUGUAUCUUGUAUCAAGAGAACAUAUGAGAAAAAAAAAAAGUCUUAGAUACUAAGGAUACAUCCAUCUCACCAUAGUCAAUAGACGAGGAACCUUUCCCCAAAGUAGUAAAUUAUUUGACUCUGCACAUGUCUAACAUCUUAAGUACUAAAUUAUUUGACUCUACACAUGUCUAACAUCUUAGCUUUGAUAUAAAUAAAUGAAAUUAUAUUAGUCAUAAUUGACUUUUCUGUCAAAAAGAAAACCGAGUUAUACAGAUGCAGUAGAAUAAAGCGUAUAAACUUUCUUUAGGACACUUCCAUACCUUCUGCCUGAUUCAUUCUUUGGAAUUUAUACUAUGGCGUCCAAAUAUUAUAUACUCAGCUGUUAUCUGACAUUGUAGUUUUGAUAUAGAAUAAAUGAAAUAUCUGCAGCGGUCACCAUUGAGCUUUAAUACAUUUGAAUUAUAUAUAGUACAUUUAUAUGGUUCUACAAACAAAUUUUAAUGUCAGAAAAAAGAAAAAAAACAUUAUAUCAGUUUGAGCUUUGAACAUAUCUCAACCCUAAGUUGGGGUCAGCUAUCGGAUUAUAAAGCAGGUUCAUAGGAGACAGUGGCAUUAGGAAGCCAAUCAUGGCCUUGUAUAAACGUUUCCACCGUGAACUUCCCAGCAUCAACGUCUGAGAGAGUGGACCUGUAACCAGCCCAUUUCACCCUAUUAUCCACGUUUGAUCCAGGUCCACUGUUCUGAUAUUCUGCAUAGAAGAUUGAGAUAGGUGGGUCAACAUUGGCAACCCAUCCUUUCCAGCCCACUGGGUCCAAGAGCGCCCCAAUCUUUGACUGCAUGAUAACAGUAGUGGAGAAUUCUUUCCAGGGCCUGCCAAGGUAGGUUUUAGCAGUAAGGUUGCCAAAUGCAGUUAUUGAGCAUUUCUGGAUACAAAUGCCAGUGUUUUGGUUAGGGUCUUUUUUGCCUUGAGCUGUGAUGGUAUUGAACUGGUUAGCCAAAGGUUGCCUUGGCAGGAUGUUGCAACUUUGGAAAACAACUGCUGCAUUCCCAAAAAUGAAGUCAAUUGUGCCCAAAAUGUCACAUUCCCGGUAAAACUGACGAUUGGAAUGGGCAUAGAGAGUGUCCUGGUAGGCAUCAAAUGCACAGCGGUAGAAUACGGAGUGAUCAGAACCAGACCGCAUAGCCACUGCUUGGUGCUUUGCUGCACCAGCUGUGUUAAUGAACCCAAUGCUCUUUGCAAUGAAUCCUUUUCCUGCCACAGCUGGUGAUUCAUACAAGAAUCAUCAGUAAUUGACAAAAUACAAGUGCAAGAAACUUUUGAGGUAGUAUUCCUAGAUUUAAUAACAAGUAGAAAGUUAAGUCUUCAACUUAUUUUAUUUUAAGACACUUUCCUAUAGAGUAGGCAAACUUCAACUACAAAUGCACAUGAUCCAAUGUGCAACAUUUUCUCCCGGAAGAGCCAUUUUACAGAAAUUGAGGAGAAAUUGUGUUCAAGCCUAAACAACAUUGCAUAAAACCGGCAAACAUGUUGCACCGCAGGAAGUGAAUUUAUUCCCUGUCUUUAGGCCCUUUUAUUCAACCGCUUGUUUAAGCUCUGUCCAUUUCAAAGUCAAGUUCGACCUUUUAAACUUGAAAAUGAGAAAGGAAAACUAGGUUUUAAAUUGGUUUUCAAGGAAUGUUUCAUCAAAACUAGCAUCUCCAAUAAUUUUUUAUUCCUUUCUUUAUAGGAAACUCCAGGAAAAAUGACAUCAAGCUCUCAGAAACAUGUUUUCCACAUUCGCAUCAAUGCUAAAACCCAUUUCAAACAACAUAAUACUUUUCACCACAUUAAGAAAUUACCUUUUCCAGGUUUCAAGAUCAUUUUACUAAAACUUCUAGACAAACUUGCAAUAAUAAAACCAUUAAAAUUGAGCAAUCCCCAUUGACAUCAGACAAUGAUCAGUUCAGAUCACCUUCUAAUAAAUGAAGCUUCAGGGGAGCAUUUAAGGACAAUACCAAGAGCUAGUGAAUUAGUAAUUCUAACUCAGGUAGUAUGGUAGUAUCUCAGUUGCAGGCCUUCUAAAUUGUUUGGGAUGACUGGGACAAGAUACAAAGAUACUAGAAAAUCACAAUGUAGACAGAGGCUCAUAAAUGGGGCAAUCUAGAAACUAUUGUCAGGCUCCAUUGAAACUACAAAUCUAGAACUGAUCAAAGUAAAUGAAGAUUGAAUAUGACUUACCGAAAGUAGCUGUAGCAAAUGUGGGAGUUCCAUCAACAAAGUUGUGG